rnacentral:rRNA from 1 species
GUCGAGGGGUAACAGAGGUAGCUUGCUACUUGCUGACGACCGGCGCACGGGUGCGUAACGCGUAUAGAAUCUACCUUGUACUAGGGGAUAGCCUUUGGAAACGAAGAUUAAUACCCUAUAGUAAGUAUUUAUGGCAUCAUUUAUACUUUAAAGGUUACGGUACAAGAUGACUAUGCGUCCUAUUAGUUUGUUGGUGAGGUAACGGCUCACCAAGACUUCGAUAGGUAGGGGCCCUGAGAGGGGGAUCCCCCACACUGGUACUGAGACACGGACCAGACUCCUACGGGAGGCAGCAGUGAGGAAUAUUGGACAAUGGAGGCAACUCUGAUCCAGCCAUGCCGCGUGCAGGAUGACGGCCCUAUGGGUUGUAAACUGCUUUUAUGUAGGAAGAAACACUCUCACGUGUGAGAGCUUGACGGUACUACAAGAAUAAGGACCGGCUAACUCCGUGCCAGCAGCCGCGGUAAUACGGAGGGUCCAAGCGUUAUCCGGAAUCAUUGGGUUUAAAGGGUCCGUAGGCGGGCUAUUAAGUCAGAGGUGAAAGUUUGCAGCUCAACUGUAAAAUUGCCUUUGAAACUGGUAGUCUUGAAUUAUUAUGAAGUGGUUAGAAUAAGUAGUGUAGCGGUGAAAUGCAUAGAUAUUACUUAGAAUACCAAUUGCGAAGGCAGAUCACUAAUAAUAUAUUGACGCUGAGGGACGAAAGCGUGGGGAGCGAACAGGAUUAGAUACCCUGGUAGUCCACGCCGUAAACGAUGGAUACUAGCUGUUCGGAUUUAUCUGAGUGGCUAAGCGAAAGUGAUAAGUAUCCCACCUGGGGAGUACGUUCGCAAGAAUGAAACUCAAGGAAUUGACGGGGGCCCGCACAAGCGGUGGAGCAUGUGGUUUAAUUCGAUGA